AUGUUUGAUCGAGUAGCUGUCGGUCAGGAAGCGUCGUCCCCGGUUGAUCGAGCAUCUGGCAGCGAGGAAACGUUGUCCUGGUCUGAUGAAGCAGAAGCGCCGUCGUCCGAGAACGAGGAGGAGCUCCCUACGGCGGCAGAACAUCCACAGGGGCAGCCACAGCCGCCCGCUGUUCAGCCCGCAGUGGCGGAUGCGCAGGCGCAGCCACUGCCCAACGAUGAUCGGGCCGUGAUCGCAGCGGCGGCGCCCGCGCCGGGAACAGCGGCCGCCGAGUACAUUUGGUGCUCAGCUUGCCUUUUACGGCCAGCGUCGGUGCGCCUCAUACCGGAGAUGCACAUCUGCCACUGCGUGCCCUGCCACUUCGCCCCGUCCGGCAGGCCCAACUGCCCGGUUUGCGACGGUUGA
rnacentral:rRNA from 1 species